rnacentral:rRNA from 1 species
UCGGGAAUUUUGCACAAUGGCCGAAAGGCUGAUGCAGCAACGCCGCGUGGAGGAGGAAGGCCUUCGGGUUGUAAACUCCUGUUGCCGGGGAAGAAAUGGAUAGGGAGGAAAUGCCCUGUCCUUGACGGUACCCGGUGAGGAAGCCACGGCUAACUACGUGCCAGCAGCCGCGGUAAUACGUAGGUGGCGAGCGUUGUCCGGAUUUAUUGGGCGUAAAGGGCGUGUAGGCGGUUUGGUAAGUCGGGGGUGAAAACCCGGGGCUCAACCUCGGGACUGCCUCCGAAACUGCUGAACUUGAGUGCUCUAGAGGGCAGUGGAAUUCCGGGUGUAGCAGUGAAAUGCGUAGAUAUCCGGAGGAAUACCAGUGGCGAAGGCGACUGCCUGGGGAGUAACUGACGCUGAGGCGCGAAAGCUGGGGGAGCGAACAGGAUUAGAUACCCUGGUAGUCCCAGCCGUAAACGAUGAGCGCUAUGUGUGGAGGGUAUCGACCCCCUCCGUGCAGCAGCUAACGCAUUAAGCGCUCCGCCUGGGGAGUACGGCCGCAAGGUUG